GCUUAUCCUACCUUUCUACAGUUCACGCUGUCAUAUAAUUGACUAUGACAAUUCUCAAAAUGGAGGUGGUGAAAUUAUGUAUUUGACAUCUUAACAUUGACGUAACACCUAACGAUAGACGUCAAGUUUUAUUUUUUAGAAAAAUCUUAAAUCAUCGCGUUAAAAUUGUUAUAAAUUAAGUAAUUAUACUGUAGAUAUAGUUAGUUAGUGUUUGAACAUUAAUUUAGUAGUUAAUUUAAAAGUUAAAACGGGAUAAUACGUUAGUAGUGAAUUAGAAAUACUAAGGACUUUUCUAUUCAGGAGCUAUGAGCUUAAGCCCAGAUGUACCUCAGGUACGGCUCUUGAAUAUUCAAGUCUAUAUUCACGGAUCCUGGCCGGAUAGCCCUGGCAGCUAAUGCCAUUCAAAUGAAGAGAAGAAGAAGGUGGUGAAAUUAUAAAAGCCAAUUACACGCUGAUAGCAGCUAUUUAUUUCUAUAAAUCAUCUCUUGGGUUUUUGGAAUAAGAUCACUUUUCUCCCUCCGGGAGCUUCAAGCAUCCUCAAAUCGGCGGCGAUACAACAACGAGGGACAUGUCAUCUGGACUGCAACCAUAUCAUCUAGACUGCAACGACCAACAUCUGUAGGUCUGGUGGAAUACAGCCUCUAGAAUCCCAGUGCCAGUUGCAGAAACAGCAGUACCAUUCGACAUCAAGAAGUUACCAUCGAACUAAUAUCAAACGUCAUAAGUAUAACCUGAAAAUUGUUAGUUUUUGGCAAGAAUUUGAAUAUAUUUGUUAAUGCACU
rnacentral:misc_RNA from 1 species